rnacentral:lncRNA from 1 species
ACCACAUAAAGUUGAGGCAAAUGCAUGCGAAAAAAAGAAAAAGGCCAUUGAUUUGAGAAAGAUCUGCGGACAUCUUAGUUGCACGAUCAUUACAAUGUACAUUACUGCACAAGGCAUAAUUUGCUUGUCAGUGGGAGAACGAAAUAUAGUUUGAAAUGACUCGCAUUUUUUGUGGGCAGUGUGUUUUGUGUUCUCAAUGUGGUUUCUUUUUUCUGCAUCAUUAGAAAUAAUGCACAGGAAAAAAGAGACGCCCGUCUAUUUUGUUUAGUGCAGCUGGUCGGCGAAGUUUGCAAAAUCUGAAAUUAGCGCCAGGAAACCUAGCAGCAUAUGCACAGAGCUAAUGUUAAGCAGCAGAACUGCAUGCUGAUGCACAUGAGGGAUGCUGAAAUACAGAAAUUUUUAUGAAUACAGACUUAUUUCUCUCAGACUUUCAAAAUAGGAAUUAGGAACCAUCAAUAACAAGCAUGAUGAAAAAGAUAAUCUUAUGCGUCCUAUUCAACGCCCGAUGUUA